AAACGACAACUUCACCACAAACGACAACUCCAGAAAGCACAUCUCCACCAACAUCAUCACCUUCAGCGUACCCUGUAAUUAUCGGCAUGCGAGCUUUGGUCAGAUCUUCCGUGGGGCUGGAUAUAAACCAAGCCAACGCCAUUAUCCAGCAGUAUUUAGCUCAGCUGAACCUCCCAGCAUCCUACAUCAUGGUCAAUGUAAAGAACAUCACGCAGCUUUUACAGGUGCAGUAUUUGGCACAACCCUUACAACAAACUGUUGGAAGGACAGCAUAAGCCGCACACCAUGGCAGCUGGGAUUUGAGCUGGUGACCUUCUGAGCCAGGCUCCAAUGCCGAAACCGCUCAGCUGCCACCUCUGUUACAAGCAACAACUUUACUUAAUAAAUUAUUAAGUGAAUUAAAAAUCCUGCUCAAUGAGAAAACUGAUUCUUCUCUUUAUCUUGCUUUUCGUUUUCCAAAAAUAUUGGAGGUAUUUAAGUUCCUUUUAAUUUAAGAAUUAUUAUAUAUUCUGUCUUAAAACUAGACAAAGCUUUUAAACUAAAAACAAGAUCACGCUUAGAAUCAAGAUCACGGAUACACACCUUUUGUCAACAAUACUGAACAAUGAAGGAUUUCCAACAUGAGAAACUGAAAUCAAACUACAAAACUACUUACUAAAAAAUAAAUGACAUGCAGGUAGUUUCUUUGAAAGAGGCAGAGUAGUAUGGAGACGGAUAAUCCGCUGUGGCGACCCCUAAUGGUAACAGCCUAAAAAACAAGAACAAGGUUGUAAGGGAACAGUUUGAAUGGAAAUUUAGAUUUAGGGAAGGCAGAGGUCUUAACCAACAUUUAGAAAUAGGCUCUAUUUGAUUAAACCAAAACCGGCCUUGAAACAAAACCCUAACCCUGGUGGAAGCCCCCUCCCAACAAAACUGCUCAUUGCACACAGAACUCCAUUCCCAUAGUAAAGCAUGUUAUAUGUCUGGGAUCAUUCGUUCUUUAUUCAAAUGUCAUUCUGUCCUCUUUGGGCUUCAACACCAACUGUUGCCUUUCAAAAUCCUUCGAAAAAGAGCUUCACUGAUCCAGUUGUAAAAGUAUACUGGAACAGUGAAGCUGCUGUCCAUCCAGUCACUCCCAAAGGGGUCCGUUCCACGCUUCACCUCUCAGUAAGAUAUAGGGUUAACAUUUGACCCAUGACUUGAACCCCUUUCAAAUCCGAAGCAUUGAAAUAAUCAUUUCUAUUCAUAACCAGUCUUUAGAAACGCAACGAAUUGCAACAAGAUAUGGUCGAGAAAACAUAAUGGAAAAUGAAGAUGGAGGGAAAUUUGACAUUUCUUUUUUAUCUAACUGUUGGGUGUGUUCUUUUAAUUUUACACUGUUCCAGCUGGGCAAGGUUCAUUCUUUUUAUUCAUGGAUGGAUGAAUGGAUGGAUAGACAGAUUGGAUUCUAAUCAUACUUUAGGCAGAAUUAUUUUUAGGCAUAUUCAUAGCAUGUCUAUAAAAUCUUACCGGCCUUGGACGACACAGCAAUGUUUCUGAUGAUCAAAAGGAUUGAAUCAUUUAUAAUAAAAUAUGUUUAAAUUAAAAAUGAGAUCAUUUCUAUAGUAAAAAACUGGCGCCAAGAUGAUAAUAUUUAACUGAUAAAAAUGUUUUAAUCAUUAUUAUUGCUAUAUAUUUUCCCAUUGAAGAACACCACAAAGUGUUUUAUUUCUUACUUCCCACUUAUCCUACUGUUCAAGAAAAUGGACAAAUGUGGUAGUUGCCCUUGUUGUUCGUUUCUUAUGCAACUGAUUUACAGGAAAUGAUGCUAUUGUAUGUCAGUAAGACAAACAAAUGAGAAGUUCCAGAAGAAUGCUUCCUAACAAAAUGUAAAAAAGAACAACAACAAAGAAAUAAGACAGACACUUUUCUGACACACCCAGACACCAGUAGACAAACAAACACAGACGUUUGUCAGAAGUUACAGCAUCAGUAGGAGAAAUGCUGCUUUUAGUUCUUUUGUUCGGAUCGAUUAUUUUCACUGAUGGAUCAACCGAGCAUCCUGAGCGUACAGGGCUACGAGCUUUGGUGAAAUCUGCUACCAAGCUGGAUUUGAAUCAAGCCAACGUGAUUCUGCAGCAGUAUUUCUCCAGUCUCUCAGCAUACAUGAACAGCAACAUAACCGGCAGAGUAACGAAGAUAAAGAUGGUAUGAGAAAACGCUUCAGGAGAAUGUUCUGGAUAUUUUCAAAGCCUGCGAUCCUCUAUAUGCAAAAUAUUUCCGGGGACAUAUAUGGGAUGUACACCAUGUGAUUGAAUUCAUUUUAGCGCCAAUAUUCAAAAUCAGUAAUGAUUACGGGAUUGAUUUUUAACCACAAAUGAUCAAAUUAUGUUCAUUUGAUUGAAAUACUGAAUAAAAUCAGAAUUAAAUAUU